CACUUCCUCCGCGGUGCCGUUGAAUAUGUUUGGUCGUGGGAUGUCGCGGGGGUAAGUGAAGGUGACCUUGGCGGGGUUUGGAAGUCGUCUGUUGUGUAGUGUCAACAAAUUAAGUUUCAAACAUGGCAGAUCAAGAUCCAGAUACGAGUCAAAGACGUUUCAUAGAGAGAGGUUCACACAAAGGCAAAGGCAUUGCAGUUCUUACCAGUGGAGGAGAUUCUCAGGGAAUGAAUGCUGCUGUUCGUGCUGUUGUAAGAUUUGGUAUAUAUUUGGGUUGCAAAGUAUUCUUCAUCAGGGAAGGUUACCAAGGAAUGGUUGAUGGUGGAGAACACAUAGAAGAGGCUGGAUGGUCUAGUGUUUCCUCUAUCAUUCAUAAGGGAGGAACUGUAAUUGGUUCCGCAAGGUGUAUGGACUUUAGAGAACGUGAAGGCCGCUUAAAGGCUGCAAAAAACCUUGUGACCAGAGCGAUUACAAAUCUUGUUGUGAUUGGUGGAGAUGGUUCACUCACAGGGGCAAAUCUCUUCCGACAAGAAUGGCCCUCUCUUCUUGAUGAACUACUGCAAAAGGGCGAAAUCACAAAAGAAAGCAGAGAAAAGUACACAUAUCUUCAUAUUGCUGGUUUGGUGGGUUCCAUAGACAAUGAUUUCUGUGGUACUGACAUGACCAUUGGUACGGAUUCUGCCCUUCAUCGAAUUAUUGAGGCUGUUGAUGCCAUAGUCUCAACAGCUUUCUCACAUCAGCGCACAUUUAUUAUGGAGGUCAUGGGACGACAUUGUGGAUAUUUAGCGCUGGUGACUGCCCUGACAAGUGAAGCUGAUUUUGUGUUUAUUCCUGAAUGGCCACCAGAGCAUGAUUGGCCAACUAAACUCUGCAAGAAGUUAGCACAGGAGCGGCUUGCAGGCCAACGGUUAAACAUUAUUAUUGUUGCGGAAGGAGCUAUAGACCGUGAUGGACAACCGAUUACUUCAGAGAAAGUGAAACAGGUUGUUGUAGAAAACUUGCAGCAAGACACCCGUAUAACUGUACUUGGACAUGUGCAGCGAGGUGGCAAUCCAUCUGCAUUUGACCGAAUAUUGGGCUGCCGUAUGGGAGCUGAGGCAGUUCUGGCUUUGAUGGAAGCAACACCAGGUUCCGAAGGAGUUCUUAUCUCUCUAGCUGGUAAUCAGGCUGUUCGGUUGCCAUUAAUGGAAUGUGUAGAAAGGACAAAAGCUGUUGCAAAAGCUAUGGCUGACAAACAAUGGGAUAAAGCAGUUCAGCUUAGAGGCAGGAGUUUUGAAAGAAAUCUGUACAUCUACAAAAUGCUGACAAGACUAAAACCUCCUACUCCAGUUGGUGAUGCUGUACAGCAAGAUUCUGUUCUCGGCAUGGAAUCCUUCACUUUGGCAGUUAUGCACAUUGGAGCACCAGCUUGUGGAAUGAAUGCUGCUGUGAGAUCAUUUGUCAGAAAUUGCCUUUACCGCGGUGUGACAGUUCUUGGAAUUCAUGAUGGUAUUGAAGGUCUAGUGGCUGGUAAUAUUAGUAAAAUGGCAUGGUCAGAUGUGACUGGUUGGGUUUCUUUGGGUGGUGCCAUGCUGGGGACAAAACGUACUCUGCCUGGAAAUAGAAUAAAGCAAAUUGCAGCUCGCUUCAAGGAAUUCAACAUCCAAGGCCUUCUCAUUAUUGGCGGUUUUGAGGCUUACCAAGGUGCGCUGCAACUUGUAGAGAGCAGGCCAACACAACCAGAGUUCUGCAUACCAAUUGCUGUUAUUCCUUCAACAAUAAGUAAUAAUGUUCCAGGCACAGAAUUUUCCUUGGGUUGUGAUACAGCACUUAAUGAAAUUACAGAGAUUUGUGACAGAAUCCGGCAGUCUGCCCAGGGCACAAAGAGAAGAGUGUUUGUCAUAGAAACUAUGGGAGGCUACUGUGGAUACCUCGCUACACUAGCAGCUCUUGCUGGAGGCGCUGAUGCGGCAUACAUAUUCGAAGAGAAAUUUUCGAUAAAAGAUCUACAGCAAGAUGUGUACCACAUGGCAUCCAAAAUGGCUGAAGGUGUCCAGAGAGGCCUUAUUCUUAGAAAUGAAAAAUGCAAUGAAAACUACACAACAGAUUUCAUUUAUCGUUUGUACUCUGAAGAAGGAAAGGGGCUUUUUAGUGCUCGAAUGAAUGUAUUAGGUCACAUGCAACAAGGAGGAUAUCCAACACCAUUCGACCGUAAUAUGGGGACAAAGAUGGGAGCAAAAACGGUUGAAUGGAUGUUCCAGAAACUAAAAGAAUCUUCCAAAGGUGAUGGCACUGUAUAUACUGCAACACCAGAUUCUGCUACACUGCUUGGAGUAUUGAGAAGACAGUAUACAUUCAGUCCACUGGAAGAACUAAAGAAAGGCACAAAUUUUGAUUACCGUAUACCAAAGAAUCAGUGGUGGCUAAAAUUACGUCCUCUGUUAAGAAUUUUGUCAAAACAUGAGAGUGCAUAUGAAGAAGAAGGCUUGUACAUGACCAUAGAACAAGCAGAAGAAGAUGACAAAACAGUAGCAAAAUAAGACAGACGGUAAUUCUUGAAGCUCUUAUCACCAAACAAGUAGUCUAUAUACCUUUACCGUUUUUCUCCCUUUGAUUAUGUUCAACGAGAACAAAGGUCUCUUUUAUUUUCUAGAACCACAAAAAUUGUGUUACAGACGAAACAAUGUGAUUGAAACAUAUUUUGGGGGAAUACACUUUUUAUGUUAAGAGUUUCUAAUGUAGAAUGAUCUGGGAUGGUAACCAGUAUGUGCAAAGACAUACUUUUUUUUUCUUUUAUUUGUCCUGCUGCUUUCUUGUAUUUUUAGCAAUUGUUUUGUUUCUGGUACAUUGAUUUCACAUAGAUCUGUAAUUAUAAUUGCCUUUUGUAACUUACAAAAAAACCUAAUAUAGAAGGCUUGUUCAUCUAUAGCACAAGUAUACUACACAAUGUGAAAGAUAAUACUGUGUUUUUUUCUUGCCAAACGGUUAAGUUGAGUGCUAUUUUAGAAGUUACAAGUUCUUAUAUUGUGUUGAUAUUGUAAUUAAUUUCUCCAGUGUCGUUGUAUACUAAAAAACCAAAAAUGUAGCCUUUAUAGAGUCCUUUAUAUCUAAAAUUGUUAUUUUAAUCUUGAAAAGAAUUUUAUGGUGAAGGUGUGGUGUUGUAUAGACAAUUAUUUUUUUAAAGUACUUGUGUUAUCCUCUGGUAGGAAUGCACUACUCUCAGUUGUUGACUGUUAUUUAUUUUAUAUAUUGUUGAUUACUUAUUUAUACUCUUUUAACUGAUGUAGUGAAUGCAUUCCACUAUACUUCUCCCCACUUUUCCUUUUUUUGUUUCUACUUCACAUAACUGUCAAAAAUACUGUUCAUAGUGUGGGAAAAUGGCAGUGUUAAUUUUCUGAAGCUUGCACACGCAAUGUAAAUUAUCUUUUGUCGUAUUAAUUUUAUAACUUCAAUAUUUCUUCAGAUGCCUUCGAGAUGCUGCAUUUUCAUUCAGAUAAGCAUUUUUAACACCUCACUCAUGAUUACAUUUUUCAUUGUCCUACACCAAAAUUUGUAUGACUCAAUAUUAGAGCAUCUGAGACACACUUUGAUACAGAUAGUUAAAGAUUAGUGUACAUGCUGUAUGCUGUGUAACAUCUUUUUAUUUAGGUUAUAUAAUUUGCAAUGGCUUUGACAUAAGCUGCAGUAAUUUUUCAGAAAUGCAAAUUCUGUGAUUUAAAUCUAUUGCAUGUUAGCUUUCAGUUAUGAUUUAAAUCUAUUACAUUUUAGUUUUCAGUUACUAAAGAUAAUGCCAAACAUUUUAUUUAAUGACUGUCAUGUUUUUCUUUUUUCUUUGUGUGGAUUCAGUAUUUAUCCGUGUUUAUUCAUGAGUGUUUCAUUGCGAUACUCAGCAUCCUGUGUAACACACAUUAAAAUUGCCAAGCUGCGAGAGAGACAUGCUAAUGAAUGUGGACUGCAGCCGUAGUUAUAAUUUUGAUGAUUGCCUACUCUUAAUUAUCAGUUGUUACAGACAGUAUGGGAAAAAAGAGGGUGAAAAAGAAAGAAGAUUUUUUCAUAUUAAGCAACAGUAUUACCUGUAUUAGAUUGUAUUGUCUUAAAUGUGAUAAUAACUUAUUUAUCAAUGUCACCACUGAGAAGAUUACUUUUUAAUCUCGAAACUGAGCAGUGCUCUGAAACUGUGCUGUGUUAUGAACAUAAAUUGUCCAUAAUAGACAAAUAAAUAAUGCCAAAACAAAUGUAAGGGCUAUGUUCCUCAAACUCAUUAACUCAAGUUGAAAUUUACAGAUGUAUCUUUCAUGUGUGUGUUCAUGUUAUAGACUGUUACUCAUGUGCCUUGGUUAAAGUAUUUUUAUGACUGUAAUAUUUAUUUUAAUAAUUUUUACUGUAAAUAUUUAUUUGAAGAGUAGAAAAUGUGGACCCCCAAGUUAUGGUCUUUUGGAAAAAUUAGUGCAAAAGCUGCAGAACAUAAACAAAGCAUUGGUGUAAAAUCUAGGAAAGAAUAUGAUAUGUAAAUGAGAAUAUAUUGUUACUUACCAGAUAGCAGGGAUGUUGACCAGUGGAAAUCAGUGUAUAAAAGAAGAAAUUGCUUAACUUCUGUCCAGUCAUCCCCCCUCCCCUCCCUCUCAUGCGCGUGUUUGGUGUCAUGCCCACUGUAAGUUCCACGUGCCUCUAUGCGUGUUUUCCAUGUGGUGAGUGGCAAUCUAUCCUUAUUGGCAUAUCACAGAACAUUAUAUAACAAAUGUAUUCAUUAUAUUUGUUUCUUUUAAAAGCUGUAUCCAAAUACUUGCUGCCUGAACAAUAUGUGUUGCUUGAAACAAGCUCUAACUGUAAAAUAUACUGAUACACAAUUCUGAGUCUGCAUUUUUUUUAUUUUUUUUAUUUUGCAGUUAUAUUGCAUCUUGUAGCGUUAAAACAAAAUAAAAGACUUUUGGAUAUACGAUCA